rfam:Punica granatum cultivar Dabenzi scaffold586, whole genome shotgun sequence.
UGGGCUGAGAGAGAGCUUCCUUCAGCCCAUUCAUGGGCGGCUCUGGGGAUGAAUUGACUGCCGACUCAUUCAUUCAAGCACUCAGUAGAUACCCAGAGAAGUGAGACUUAAUCUACUGGCGUCUGAGUGAAUGAAGCGGGAGUCGAUUCCUUCCCCACUUCUCCAUGCUUGGACUGAAGGGAGCUCCUUCUUUCUAUCUU